GACGAACGCUGGCGGCGUGCUUAACACAUGCAAGUCGAACGGAAAGGCCCUGCUUGCAGGGUACUCGAGUGGCGAACGGGUGAGUAACACGUGGGUGAUCUGCCCUGCACUUCGGGAUAAGCCUGGGAAACUGGGUCUAAUACCGGAUAGGAGCCAUUUUUAGUGUGAUGGUUGGAAAGUUUUUUCGGUGUAGGAUGAGCUCGCGGCCUAUCAGCUUGUUGGUGGGGUAAUGGCCUACCAAGGCGGCGACGGGUAGCCGGCCUGAGAGGGUGGACGGCCACAUUGGGACUGAGAGACGGCCCAGACACCUACGGGAGGCAGAAGUGGGGAAUAUUGCACAAUGGGCGCAAGCCGGAUGCAGCGACGCCGCGUGGGGGAUGACGGCCUUCGGGUUGUAAACUCCUUUCGCUAGGGACGAAGCUUUUUGUGACGGUACCUAGAUAAGAAGCACCGGCUAACUACGUG
rnacentral:rRNA from 1 species